rnacentral:rRNA from 1 species
CUAACAUGCAAGUCGAACGGAAAGGCCCUUCGGGGUACUCGAGUGGCGAACGGGUGAGUAACACGUGGGUGAUCUGCCCUGCACUUUGGGAUAAGCCUGGGAAACUGGGUCUAAUACCGAAUAUGACCAUGCACUUCCUGGUGUGUGGUGGAAAGCUUUUGCGGUGUGGGAUGGGCCCGCGGCCUAUCAGCUUGUUGGUGGGGUAAUGGCCUACCAAGGCGACGACGGGUAGCCGGCCUGAGAGGGUGACCGGCCACACUGGGACUGAGAUACGGCCCAGACUCCUACGGGAGGCAGCAGUGGGGAAUAUUGCACAAUGGGCGCAAGCCUGAUGCAGCGACGCCGCGUGAGGGAUGACGGCCUUCGGGUUGUAAACCUCUUUCAAUAGGGACGAAGCGCAAGUGACGGUACCUAUAGAAGAAGGACCGGCCAACUACGUGCCAGCAGCCGCGGUAAUACGUAGGGUCCGAGCGUUGUCCGGAAUUACUGGGCGUAAAGAGCUCGUAGGUGGUUUGUCGCGUUGUUCGUGAAAACUCACAGCUUAACUGUGGGCGUGCGGGCGAUACGGGCAGACUAGAGUACUGCAGGGGAGACUGGAAUUCCUGGUGUAGCGGUGGAAUGCGCAGAUAUCAGGAGGAACACCGGUGGCGAAGGCGGGUCUCUGGGCAGUAACUGACGCUGAGGAGCGAAAGCGUGGGGAGCGAACAGGAUUAGAUACCCUGGUAGUCCACGCCGUAAACGGUGGGUACUAAGUGUGGGUUUCCUUCCUUGGGAUCCGUGCCGUAGCUAACGCAUUAAGUACCCCCCCUGGGGAGUACGGCCGCCAGGCUAAAACUC